GAUGAACGCUGGCGGCGUGCCUAAUACAUGCAAGUCGAGCGAACAGACGAGGAGCUUGCUCCUCUGACGUUAGCGGCGGACGGGUGAGUAACACGUGGAUAACCUACCUAUAUGACUGGGAUAACUUCGGGAAACCGGAGCUAAUACCGGAUAACAUGUUGAACCGCAUGGUUCAACAGUGAAAGACGGUUUUGCUGUCACUUAUAGAUGGAUCCGCGCCGCAUUAGCUAGUUGGUAAGGUAACGGCUUACCAAGGCAACGAUGCGUAGCCGACCUGAGAGGGUGAUCGGCCACACUGGAACUGAGACACGGUCCAGACUCCUACGGGAGGCAGCAGUAGGGAAUCUUCCGCAAUGGGCGAAAGCCUGACGGAGCAACGCCGCGUGAGUGAAGAAGGUCUUCGGAUCGUAAAACUCUGUUAUUAGGGAAGAACAAAUGUGUAAGUAACUAUGCACGUCUUGACGGUACCUAAUCAGAAAGCCACGGCUAACUACGUG
rnacentral:rRNA from 1 species